GACGAACGCUGGCGGCGUGCCUAACACAUGCAAGUCGAACGGAAAGGCCCUGCUUUUGUGGGGUGCUCGAGUGGCGAACGGGUGAGUAACACGUGUGUAUCCUGCCCUUGACUUUCGGAUAACUUCAGGAAACUGGGGCUAAUAUCGGAUAGGAUCUCCUGCUGCAUGGUGGGCGUUGGAAAUUUUCGGCGGUUGGGGAUGGACUCGCGGCUUAUCAGCUUGUUGGUGGGGUAGUGGCUUACCAAGGCUUUGACGGGUAGCCGGCCUGAGAGGGUGGCCGGGCACAAGGGGACUGAGAUACGGCCCAGACGCCUACGGGAGGCAGCAGUGGGGAAUAUUGCACAGUGGGCGGGAGCCUGAGACAGAGACGCCGCGUGCGGGAUGACGGCCUUCGGGUUGUAAACCGCUUUCGCCUGUGACGAAGCGUGAGUGACGGUAAUGGGUAAAGAAGCACCGGCUAACUACGUG
rnacentral:rRNA from 1 species